rnacentral:snRNA from 1 species
GUGCUUGCUUCAGCAGCACAUAUAAUAAAAUUGGAAUGACACAGAGAUUAGCAUGGCCCCUGCACAAGUAUGACAUGGAAAUUCAUGAAGCAUUCCAUAUUUAA